rnacentral:rRNA from 1 species
UACGAAGGGGGCUAGCGUUGCUCGGAAUCACUGGGCGUAAAGGGCGCGUAGGCGGAUCUUUAAGUCGGGGGUGAAAGCCCAGGGCUCAACCCUGGAAUUGCCUUCGAUACUGAAGAUCUCGAGACCGGAAGAGGUAAGUGGAACUGCGAGUGUAGAGGUGAAAUUCGUAGAUAUUCGCAAGAACACCAGUGGCGAAGGCGGCUCACUGGCCCGAUACUGACGCUGAGGUGCGAAAGCGUGGGGAGCAAACAGG